UGAACCUAGGUGGGAUUAGCUAGUUGGUGAGGUAAUGGCUCACCAAGGCGACGAUCCCUAGCUGUUCUGAGAGGAUGAUCAGCCACACUGGGACUGAGACACGGCCCAGACUCCUACGGGAGGCAGCAGUGGGGAAUAUUGCACAAUGGGGGAAACCCUGAUGCAGCCAUGCCGCGUGUGUGAAGAAGGCCUUCGGGUUGUAAAGCACUUUCAGUAGGGAGGAAAGGUUGUAAGUUAAUACCUUGCAGCUGUGACGUUACCUACAGAAGAAGGACCGGCUAACUCCGUGCCAGCAGCCGCGGUAAUACGGAGGGUCCAAGCGUUAAUCGGAAUUACUGGGCGUAAAGCGUGCGCAGGCGGUUUGUUAAGCGAGAUGUGAAAGCCCCGGGCUCAACCUGGGAAUUGCAUUUCGAACUGGCAAACUAGA
rnacentral:rRNA from 1 species